UACGAAGGGUGCAAGCGUUGUUCGGAUUUACUGGGCGUAAAGCGCGCGCAGGCGGGUGAUUAAGUCAGGUGUGAAAUCUCGGGGCUCAACUCCGAAACUGCGCCUGAAACUAUUCAUCUAGAGUGUUGGAGGGGGAAGUGGAAUUUCGCAUGUAGGGGUAAAAUCCGUAGAGAUGCGAAGGAACAUCAGUGGCGAAGGCGACUUCCUGGACAACAACUGACGCUGAGGCGCGAAAGCGUGGGGAGCAAACAGG
rnacentral:rRNA from 1 species